rnacentral:rRNA from 1 species
CAAUAGCGUAUAUUAAAGUUGUUGCAGUUAAAAAGCUCGUAGUUGGAUUUCUGGUCGGAAGCUCCUGUCCUCUGAUGAGCGUACAAGUGCGUCCUACCAUCCUUCUGUUAACCUUUAAGGCUUUCGCGGCUUUCUAGGGGCUCAGAUAUUUUACCUUGAGAAAAUUAGAGUGUUUCAGGCAGGCUAGCGCCGGAAUACAUUAGCAUGGAAUAAUGGAAUAGGACUUUUGCCUCUUCUGUUGGUCAUGAGGCUCGAGUAAUGAUUAAUAGGGAUAGUUGGGGGCAUUAGUACUUAACUGUCAGAGGUGAAAUUCUCGGAUUUGUUAAAGACGGACUACUGCGAAAGCAUUUGCCAAGGAUGUUUNCAUUG